UACGUAGGGGGCAAGCGUUGUCCGGAUUUAUUGGGCGUAAAGAGCGUGUAGGCGGCCAGGUAGGUCAGCUGUGAAAACUCGAGGCUCAACCUCGAGACGUCGGUUGAAACCACCUGGCUAGAGUCCGGAAGAGGAGAGUGGAAUUCCUGGUGUAGCGGUGAAAUGCGCAGAUAUCAGGAAGAACACCGAUGGCGAAGGCAGCUCUCUGGACCGUUACUGACGCUGAGGCGCGAAAGCGUGGGGAGCAAACAGG
rnacentral:rRNA from 1 species